rnacentral:rRNA from 1 species
UGCCGGCGACCGGCGCACGGGUGAGUAACACGUAUGCGACCUGCCCCCCGCAGGGGGAUAACCGGGAGAAAUCCCGACUAAUACCGCGUAACGCCGCGGACCUGCAUGGGUCUGCGGCCAAAGGAAGCGAUUCCGGCGGGGGAUGGGCAUGCGGCGCAUUAGCUAGUCGGCGGGGUAACGGCCCACCGAGGCGACGAUGCGUAGGGGUUCUGAGAGGAAGGCCCCCCACACUGGAACUGAGACACGGUCCAGACUCCUACGGAAGGCAGCAG